UGCACGCCUCUAUCAACCCUUAUCACAUACCUCCUGUAUUGAUAAGAUCCAUUCAUGGGUCGCACCCCUGAUCCCUUCCAUUGAACUUCCAUGAAACCAGUUUCUACACUGCAUCCACCUUCAAGGCUAUUCAUGCCAUUGUGAGGGAAGUCCGGCCUUCUCCCUUCUCUCUGGGUAUUUGCGUGUGUUCCCAAGAUACAGUGGAAGCCUAGGACGUGUUCAUCAGUGGUGAAAACCUACCACAGGGUCGUUCAUAACUCCCCUUGCACUUCCAUGAAACUGCCUUUCUACACACAUCUGCCCUUAAGGCUGUCUUGGCCUUUGGGAAGGAAUCGGUCUCUACCUUCUCUCCUCACAUUUGCGUGUGUUCUCAGGCCCUGUAGGAUGCGUUGGGUGAUAAAAUCACGGAUCAAAGCCACCAGAAAGUCGUGAUAACUUUCCCCCUUGAUCUCUCCAAAACUGCCUCUUUACGGCCUUCACACCACCAUGGGUCUUGGAUUGGGAAUCCGACCAACCUCUCUGUCUUUCUCUAUGUUUGUGUUUCUUUGAGUUUCAGGGCGUAGGAGGAAGCCCUGGCGUGCCUGCAAAGGCACGGACUUGCCUGCCUUUUAUAGAAGAAGGGGCAGUUACCUUUACAAAGGUUGCACCCUUUCGGUAUCAUUUCUGGCCAUUGAUUUAAUCAAUGGUCCAGAUCACACCCUUUCGCCUCUUGCAGUUACCAGACUUCCUGGAACUGCCAAACCACUCCUGGACAUGUCCAAAACAAGCCCACACGGAUUUCCCUAGCUCCUGGCUCAAUCCCAAGAGCCAACCAGCCCAUCGGCACACACGGGUCGCCCACAUGGCCCGGCCACUGUCCAGACCCGGCCCAACUGCCCAUGACUUGAACACUCAGUCCAGCUGAGUUGAGCUGAUCCCCAGCUGUCCCAGCUGAGUGAGCUAUACCAUCCAGCUCAGGGAGCUGACCUACAUUUCAGUGAGCUACAUCGAGCUGCACUACACUUCACCUAGCUGGUCGAGCUUGCUUACUGCAUCGCCCAGCUGUUAUACACUGUGUCCCACUUGCUUCCUUUAUCUUCUUCAAUCCUUCUAAGUCCCUUGGUCUAUUUCCAGACCUAGACUUAGUUCUCCCAUGAUCCAUUCUGAUCACUCACUUCAUCGAGCUUCCCCGAUCUCGUCCAGCUACCAGCUCCUUUGAGCUUGCCUCUGCCUUAUUUUGGUUAAGUUCCAGCUACCUGAUUCCCUUAACCACGUUUGGGCCAUGACACGCUUGUCUUUAGGUCAUGUGACCUGACUGGUGCGUCUCCUCGCACUAAGGUCUGUCCGGACGAUCCUAUCCAGGAUCGGGGAUGCUACAAGUCUCCCCCACUUAGAAUGGAUUCGUCCUCGAAUCCGGUGGUGCUGACGCCCUGCCUCAAGACUAAGGUUCCAAUCAAACUUUUUGCAUCCGGAACUUGGAGCAUGCUCGUUUGGUUCUUCCAAACCAAUUCAUUGCAUCUCCCUCCUUGUUCCUUCUCACUGAUCAUGUCUUGAUCAUCAUAUAUACAUGUCUACCCCACUUGAUAGAGAUUUAACCCAAAAUCUUAUCAAGUGGUCCAUCAAGCACCCAUACAAGGACAUGACUGGCGUCACUGACCCAACUCUCCAAGUUGCGGUCCUUGUAGACACCAAGUCCAUAUCUCUCUUUAGAAUGUCGUCUACUCUAGACUUCAUUCUUUUUCAGAUCUUAGUCCACGACUAGAUCAAAUUCAGUCCCUAGGAACAUACUGCGUACUCAAGUCUUAGUAGAUUCAACCAAUCUCUAAGCCACUCGAUGCACCAGCCAAGUCCUAGCGAACAUGUUCCAAUCUUUAGGCUGAUCACUCUACCAUGAGUUCUAACAGAUUGUUUUGUUCCCUUAAGUCCUUCCCGGACAAUAAGGUUUAUGAUUCCAGCCACCAAUUACUGGAUCAUUCCUUAACCAGCCACAGCCUCUCUCAGCUUGGCCAUAUUGCGACCUUAGUCCAUACUAGACUAGACCGCCUCAUCUUGACUCCGUCCAUUACUGGACUUCGUCAUAAUCCGAUCCUGGCCUUUCAUGGACUCGAUCACAUUCCGGUCCUGGUCCACUCAGGGACUCAACCAUUUUCAACCCGACCGUAGGCCUAUCUCCGAAUAGGUCGUCAUGUGAUCGUUGUCCCUUACUGGACUUGAUCAUUCUUAUUCCAACCUUAGGUCAAUCUCUGACUUGGUUGUGCUGCGAUCCUCAUCCCUCAUUGGACUUGAUCGACUUCAGCUCGGCCAUCUCGGCAGGAGCAAUACAAUAGGGAAUUUUGGACAUUGGGGCCGUCCCUGGUUCCAGUUCUAUUAUGAAUGGGUCCGACCUAUCAGGGGGAAUGCCCUGUAGUGACCUAAACACAUCAUGGAACUCUCGGACCAGCGGUAUUCCCUCCGGGUCACCACCCCCUACGACCUCCUUAGUGGCGAUUGUGGCCAGAUAGCUUCACAACCCUUCAUCAGCAUCCUCUCAACAUGGAUUGCUGACACCACCAAGCAUCCAGAGAUCGGACGUAUACCUUGGAACCUGAUCGGAGAUCCACACCCACUCUCAAACUGCACGCGCUCCCGGUGACAGUCAAGAGUGGCCCGAUUCUUUCCAAGCCAGUCCACGCCUAUCACAUCGUGAUUCUCAAGGCGGACAACAAUCAGAUCCGCAGGCAUUACCCUGUCUGUGAUCAACAAUCAGAUCCGCAGGCAUUACCCUGUAUGUGAUCAAUACCGGGAUGUCUCUAACCAGCCCUAGUGAAUCCAUCACCUGCCAACUGGCCGCAUUCACUAUGACAAGACAAUCCCAUGUUACAUCUGGAACAAACCCUUUCCGACCAUUCCUGGACUCACAACACUAUGUGUAGUUCCAGUAUCGAAAAGUACGUGUGUUUCCACACAACCGAUCAUUAAGUACUUAGAUGAGUAGGAUCUCGGUUUGAUCACACAUUUGGAAAACGUCCCAUACCAUUCUCCAAAGCAUCACACUUCUGUGAACGUCCCACACCAUUCACAAAAGUAUUUAUAGUAUACCUCAAUCCUCAUCAUACUAAGAUACUUAACAUCGUGUUUCCCAUUUCCUCCUGAAUUGAUCCAUUCCAUUCAAUCAAUCUUAAGAAAUCCUACCUUGACUUACACUCAGUCCAAGAUGAUCCAUCUGAUCACAAGCCCACUCAUGUACUAGCCAAGUAGCAUCUCCCUUAGACCAACAUGAACACCGCAUAUGCUCACUUGUUUAGAACGGUCACCAGGGAAUAACACUGACCUCCAAGAGAGUGCUGCACAUUUCUUUCAACCUAAGCCACUCUCUGGUCCAUGUUACUCCCCUUAUCCAGGUCGUCCAUACAAAGAUCUUGCAUUGCGUCCAUUGUCCAAUCCGUCUAUUACUCCCAAAUAACUAGAAAACUAACCUUUCUGUUUCAGGGUCUUGCCCUCGGAGAGUGCAUCUUGGCUAAUCCGGCUCAUCUUGGAACUUCCCCGUUCACAAGCAUGAAACCCAAACUUACCUCAACUCUCACUUGGCUCACCACAACUAAGGUUCCAAGUCAUCUCAGUUUUCAGAAAUAAUUUCGGUCUGGAACUCAACAUCUUUGAGCACUGUCCUUAACAGGAACAAGCAUGCUCUGAUACCAACUUGUAAGACCCGAUCCCGGCCGACUAGGCCGCGGUCGAUGCCUCACGUCGCUCGGUCCAUACACUGACCGAACCUCUAAAAAUUUUGCCCUUUAUUUAAAAAACAUCGCCCAUAGGCGAGGGCUAACUCAGAUCUUAGCUCAAGACUACCUUAGUCAUUCCCUAGCUUAGAUCAUUUCAACUUAUGCACAGCGGAAUAACAUCUAUCAUCCAUUGGACUAAAUCCAAUCUAAUACUUGUCCGGUCGAAUCACCUCAGCUAAUGGUUAGUAUACUCAACUACCAGCUAGCUCCAAGGUUGAUUCUGAACACGAACCAAGUCAUACAAAUCUGAGGUUCCGUUUCCCUAACAAUUCUAUCUAGAUCUAUGCAAAAUUGCUAGAUCGUACCUUUGCCACAUCCACGGAGUUUGUUAGCUCAUCGGCCCAGCUACUCUAGCUGAAUGAACUCAUAGACCAGCUGAUCGGGCUGUCACACUCGAACUUAGUUAGGACCGAGGUAUGGCCAGCUGCCAUAUACUGCGUCCAGCUCCUUUACACACACAAAACAACUCCCUUAGGUACUUAGUCAUUCAGCCAACCAUCCGCACAGACAUAAGUAACCCUUGAGAAGUCUUCAAACAGCUAAGGACAUGCAUCUGGCCCUUACCGGCUCAUGCACUGUCCCACAUCCUUUUGCCUUAUCAACUUAUGAUACCAAGUCCAGCUCAUGGACUAACAACGCCCAUCAGAUCCUGAGUCAAUCAACCAACCACCCCACAUGACCCAGAACUGAUGAGUCUUCACACGUACCUAACCGGCCAUGGAACCAUAUCCCAACGAAGCCGAUCAGUCCUCCUCUUACCACCGGUGCAUCCUUUGAUCAAUCAGAUCAGACACCUUGAUCCAUCAUCUAUGGAUCAGGUCGUCCAUCCUUACCCAUGAUCAGAUCACACACGGACUUCCUUGAAUAAUAACACCCAAGCUCAGUACUUAUGGUCCACGCCAUCAAGUACUAGCUAUACUCUUAUUCAUGGCUUACUGCUGGUUCCAAACAUAUUGGACCUUGCAAUCCACAUGGUUCCUCUAAUACCAGGACCCCCAUGUGCCUCUUCCAUGAGUCGGAUUAAUGGUUCACACAUGACCAAACCCAACACAACUCCAUCAGAUAAGCAUCAAUAUGCUCUCAGGUACAAAAAUGACCUCAUCCAAGUAUGCUCCAAAAACUAAUUAAAAUUCAUGAUUAUUCAUGAUAAUUCCCAACUAAGAGAAUGCCAUAAUCAGAAUUUUCAGAACCGGCCUCGAUCCUAUAGAUCUCGGCCAAAAUCAGCCAAACCGGCCAAAACUGGACAUCAUCAAAUCAAUUCCUAAAAAUUGAUUAAAAUACAUGAAAACUCAUGAUAAUUCAUAACUAAGAUAUUCCCAUAAUCAGAUUCCAAAGAAUCGACCCAGACCAUAUAGAUCCUGAUCAUGAACAGCCCGGCCAAGGCCAUGGGCACCAUUCCUGAACCGGCCAAGGCCUUGGUUCAGUGACAUCAGGCCUGAUCCAACAGACUACACCAUAAACAUUCCUAAUAUAUAUAGUCCUCAAGGACGUGCCAUACUUGGCCAUGAUCAAUUCCACAGUCAACAGAAUUGUAAUUCAAAGGUAAUCAUAAAACCGGUUACCUUAUACAUGAUCUGAUUAGAUCAUGUGCCUUUCCUUAUUAUGUUCGGCCAUGCUCCUCCAGUGCACGACUCUAUCAAUCCUUAUCACAUACCUCCUGUAUUGAUAAGAUCCAUUCAUGGGUCGCACCCCUGAUCCCUUCCAUUGAACUUCCAUGAAACCAGUUUCUACACUGCAUCCACCUUCAAGGCUAUUCAUGCCAUUGUGAGGGAAGUCCGGCCUUCUCCCUUCUCUCCUGGGUAUUUGCGUGUGUUCCCAAGAUACAGUGGA
rnacentral:lncRNA from 1 species